UACGAACUUCUAAGAAGUAAAUAAACUUUAAAAGGAAUAAUCAUAAUCUGAACUUGCAAUAUAUGUGAAGCCUUGAAAUCGACCAUCGAAAGCACAAGAUGCAUGCAUGAAAGAAAACUUGAGCGACCAUAAUGGGGUUUUAGUUAAAUUGAAGGACAAAUAUGUUGAGAUUUGUGGUCCAUUCCACAACGGUAGCAAAAAUCAUGUCCACACCUGUCAUAGAUUCAAAAAAUUCUCAACUGGAUAUUCAAUAAAUACUAUGUAUAUUGUUAGUUCAAUGUGUAUAUUGUUUCUUGCCUUAUUUCCCAAAACCAUUUGCACAACUCAAUUGGAGUAUCAAUUCUUUGUUACUAUAUUCAUUAU
rnacentral:lncRNA from 1 species